UUCCGGUUGAUCCUGCCGGACCCGACUGCUAUCAGAGUGGGACUAAGCCAUGCGAGUCGACGUAGCAAUGCGUGGCGAACGGCUCAGUAACACGUAGUCAACAUGCCCAGGGGACGUGGAUAACCUCGGGAAACUGAGAAUAAACCACGAUAGGUCACGAUUUCUGGAAUGGAUCAUGGCAUAAAUCUACAUGGCCCCUGGAUUGGACUGCGGCCGAUCAGGCAGUUGGUGAGGUAAUGGCCCACCAAACCUAUAACCGGUACGGGCUCUGAGAGGAGAAGCCCGGAGAUGGGCACUGAGACAAGGGCCCAGGCCCUAUGGGGCGCAGCAGGCGCGAAACCUCUGCAAUAGGCGAAAGCCUGACAGGGUUACUCUGAGUGAUUUCCGCUAAGGGGAUCUUUUGGCACCUCUAAAAAUGGUGCAGAAUAAGGGGUGGGCAAGUCUGGUGUCAGCCGCCGCGGUAAUACCAGCACCCCGAGUGGUCGGGACGAUUAUUGGGCCUAAAGCAUCCGUAGCCGGUUCUGCAAGUCUUCCGUUAAAUCCAGCCGCUCAACGGAUGGGCCGCGGAGGAUACUAUAGGACUAGGAGGCGGGAGAGGCAAGCGGUACUCAGUGGGUAGGGGUAAAAUCCUUUGAUCCAUUGAAGACCACCAGUGGCGAACGCGGCUUGCCAGAACGCGCUCGACGGUGAGGGAUGAAAGCUGGGGGAGCAAACCGGAUUAGAUACCCGGGUAGUCCCAG
rnacentral:rRNA from 1 species